GAUGAACGCUGGCGGCGUGCCUAAUACAUGCAAGUCGAGCGAACGGACGAGAAGCUUGCUUCUCUGAUGUUAGCGGCGGACGGGUGAGUAACACGUGGAUAACCUACCUAUAAGACUGGGAUAACUUCGGGAAACCGGAGCUAAUACCGGAUAAUAUUUUGAACCGCAUGGUUCAAAAGUGAAAGACGGUCUUGCUGUCACUUAUAGAUGGAUCCGCGCUGCAUUAGCUAGUUGGUAAGGUAACGGCUUACCAAGGCAACGAUGCAUAGCCGACCUGAGAGGGUGAUCGGCCACACUGGAACUGAGACACGGUCCAGACUCCUACGGGAGGCAGCAGUAGGGAAUCUUCCGCAAUGGGCGAAAGCCUGACGGAGCAACGCCGCGUGAGUGAUGAAGGUCUUCGGAUCGUAAAACUCUGUUAUUAGGGAAGAACAUAUGUGUAAGUAACUGUGCACAUCUUGACGGUACCUAAGCAGAAAACCACGGCUAACUACGU
rnacentral:rRNA from 1 species